UAUAGCUCAGUGGCACAGUGCUUGCCUGGCAAACAUGAGAUUCUGAGUUCAAUUCCCAGUA
rnacentral:tRNA from 1 species